rnacentral:rRNA from 1 species
AAACAUUUCCUCUUAGAUAAAGAGGUAAGGCCUGCUCACUGAAUUUUAAAGAGCCGCAGUAUUCUAACUGUGCUAAGGUAGCAUAAUCAUUAGUCUUUUAAUUGGAGACUGGUAUGAAUGGCUAAACGAGAAAUUAACUUUUUUUGUUAUAAAGAUUGAAUUUAAUUUUUUAGUGAAAAAGCUAAAAUUUUUCAGAAAGACGAGAAGACCCUUUAGAGUUUUAUGUUUUAAAAAUAAAUUUUUAUUAGAUUUUUAAUUAUUUAUUUUCAUAAACAUUUUGUUGGGGCGACAUAAAGAUAAAUAAAACUCUUUAUAUUAAAAAUUUUUAUAAAAAUAUUCUUGAUCCUUUAUAAGAGAUUAUAAGAAAAAAUUACCUUAGGGAUAACAGCGUAAUCUUUUUUAAGAGUUCUAAUCGACAAAAAGGUUUGCGACCUCGAUGUUGGACUAAAAUUUAGGCAGGGUGCAGCAGUUCUGCUUUUAGGUCUGUUCGACCUAUAAAA